GACUCUUGGAAAUUUCUGGAUACAGCCCUUAUUUCAGUUUCAAACAGGAAACUGUAGCUUAUCUAUAAAGUGUGUAUGUACUUAUGUGUAUGUGUCUAUCUAGAUACAGGCAGACGCCGUUCAGCACUGGGUAUGUUUGGAGGUCAGACAACAUGAUUAGUGGAGAAAGGAUAUACACAUCUAUACAUCUUUCUAGAAAAUUGGUUCUUGCUACCUAACAUCUCACAAGGGGACAAUUCGACAUCCAUAGACUAGAAAAACGUCAAAUGAUGCUUGGGAUGUGCCUAUAACAUGAAGAAGAGGAAGUUAUAACAUGGUUUUAAAACUCAUAGUGAUGUGCUGAGGAGGAUUCUUUGCCCUGCUUUCUGUGCUGGUGAGACCAUCGGAUAUAGCAGAGGAAACUCAGAGUACUUUGGUGGGGGGGAGUCAAAGAAGGAAACCUCCUUUGGAGAGAGAAGACAUGACAGGCUUGUGGAAAAAAGAAGGGAGAAAGGAAAACAGCAGUUGUUAAGUAAAGUAACUAAACUGUAAAUCUCCUAUCUCUAUCCUCCAGACCACAUCCUAACUGAAUCCAACUGUGCCCCACCCUUGCUCCUUUGUAGCAGUACACAUCUAGCCCCAGAGACUGCUUACUAUAUAAGCUCUUUCUAGUCUUCUCCUUCACCACUAACUAGCUAUUCAGUUCAUUUCCACUCCAAGGGCCAAUAUGAAGAAUCCAUUUUCCGUGUUUUAUUGUGACUGGGUAGAAGAAAGAAG